GGAGGGGAGCAUUUGUCCGGAAGCCCAGCAAAAAGUGUUAGCUCAAGGAAAAUGUGAAGCAGAUCUUAGGGAGUAUUUUGUGUCCCUGGGUUUUGUGUUUCUCUUGCACACAUCCAUGGGAAAGCAGUAAUCUAAAUAGAAGCAAUGCCUUGUCCACUCUCCUGAUAGGGUUUUUCACCAUCCUGGUGUUUUUAGCCUUUCUUCAUUUCAGGGAGCCGAGUUGUCUUCACCCAGGCAGCAAAUUGAUUUACAAACACACAGGCUCAGAGAAACUUAGCGACCAAUUACACAGUCUCCAAAUAUUCCAAACUCGCUCAGACGCCAGACAAAAGGGGUCAAGGCAGUUCAUCAGAUUCACUCCCUAAUUCUCCACCUCUGAAGCAAGCCCUCCCCAGGGAGCAGACAAGGAAAGGAAACAAUUGCCAAGUAUGGAUUCUUUGUUGAGGCUUUGAACAUGAAGGAUUUAUAAAUAAAAGACGUGAUCAAGGCAAAGAAAUACCCUGGGACCGGUGAUGCAGAUCCUGAUUGACUAGGUCCUGGAAGCCAAGUGAGAAAGUGUGCUAACUGCUGCUGAGAGAUCAAGAAGGCUUCCUGACCAGCAUCACAGAGCAAGUAAUCUAUUGCUAAAUCCGCCUGUCAUCCUGGCUGGGGCCAAGGAAAAUCAAGGGAUGGCAAAGCUUUGGAGAAGCUGAGGUAAGUAGUGUACAGGCAGCAGGCAUAUCGUGUCGUGACUCCACACACUGGCUCUGGAGGCAGGCUGGUUGUGUUCAGAUCCGGGCUUUCCCUCUUGCUAGCUCUGC